rnacentral:rRNA from 1 species
GUCCACGCUGUAAACGAUGAGUGCUAGGUGUCGGGGAGGAAUCCUCGGUGCCGGAGCAAACGCAAUAAGCACUCCACCUGGGGAGUACGACCGCAAGGUUGAAACUCAAAGGAAUUGACGGGGGCCCGCACAAGCGGUGGAGCAUGUGGUUUAAUUCGAAGCAACGCGAAGAACCUUACCAAGGCUUGACAUACCGAUGCUAGAUGUAGAGAUACAACAUUCCUUCGGGACAUCGGAUACAGGUGGUGCAUGGUUGUCGUCAGCUCGUGUCGUGAGAUGUUGGGUUAAGUCCCGCAACGAGCGCAACCCUUAUCUUCAGUAGCCAGCGAGAGAGACGGGCACUCUGGAGAGACUGCCGUGGAUAACACGGAGGAAGGUGGGGAUGACGUCAAAUCAUCAUGCCCCUUAUGUCUUGGGCAACACACGUGCUACAAUGGCUGGAAACAAAGUGAAGCGAGACGGUGACGUUAAGCAAAGCACAAAAACCCAGUCCCAGUUCGGAUUGUAGUCUGCAACUCGACUACAUGAAGCUGGAAUCGCUAGUAAUCGCGAAUCAGAAUGUCGCGGUGAAUACGUUCCCGGGCCUUGUACACACCGCCCGUCACACCAUGGGAGUUGGAAGCGCCCGAAGUCGAUGACCCAACCUGAGAAGGGGGGAGUCGCCGAAGGUGAAGCCAGUGACUGGGGUGAAGUCGUAACAAGGUAGCCGUAUCGGAAGGUGCGGUUGGAUCACCUC